AAAAAAAAAUAAAAAAAAUAGGGUUAUUUUUUCUCUCAUGAUAACAGUAAACAGAUUCACAACAAUGUCAAUUUCAAGAAAGCAGACAACAGUUAAUUAGUCAAUAACAGUACAGCAUCAAUGAUCUUAAAUAUAUGCCACUUUUAACUAAAAUAUAAAGGCACAGAACCAGAACGUAGCACAGAACCAGGACCGUUUUUCUUAUCACCAGCACAGCGUCAGGACAAUUCCGUUUAACGAACUUGCACGACUUUUGCAAUAUAAUAUUGUUGUAAUAUACUUUGCAUGGUACUUAUGACGCAUCAGAGAAAAAUUAAGCAACAAAACAGUCGUUUUAUUGCCGUUCUGAUACAAUGUAAACAAACCCAUCAGCACAGAAUCAGGACCCACCAGCACCUGACAGGACCAAAUCACCAGCACAGAACGUUCUCUCGCAGGACAACCAUACCCACCGUGGUCAUGGCUA
rnacentral:lncRNA from 1 species